UCUCUCAUACCUGGCCUGACCUUGAAAUUUCCAGUUUACCUGAGACACAGCCAGGCUUGUGGCUGAGCCCUGAGCUGAAGCCAGGGAAGGCUCCACAAGCAUUUGGCUUCCAGCUUGGUCUAGAUGGAGGCUGUUUGCAUCUGUCAAAUGCAUGGAGCUCAGCCCCAUACCUCACCUCGGUCUGGCUCACCUCUGCCUUGGAGCUCACUCUGUUUCUUCACCUGGUGAACACCUUCAGUACAGGCAGCGAUCAGUCUAUUGAGAUAACUGUGAACUUCUUCUGUGAACUGAGCACUUGACCCCCACACUGGAGGGCAAAGGAGUGUCAGGAGGCAAGUUCCCUGCCACCAAGAUACUCUCCCACUUAGCAGCACUGAGUACCUGACUAGAAGCAGGACCAUGUGGUGUAUUUCCCAUAGAAUGGAUUGGUUUGUUCUCAGUGACGAGGGGUUAUUUUUCAUGAAUAUCACUAUUAUCCAGAAUUUGUCUUCCUCUUUCAAGUUUCUUCUAGAGAAAAGUCUGCCAGUGUUUGUUGAGGAGGCGCUAGUUUUUUUUUUAAUUUUUUAUUGUACUUUAGAUGAAGGUUUACAGAACAAACUAGUUUCUCAUUAAACAGUCAGCACACACAUUGUUCUAUGACAUUGGUUAACAACCCCAAGACAUGUCAGCCCUCUUCCUUUCCAACCUUGGGUUCAAGGAGAAGCUAGUUUUUAUUUUCUCUAGCCAGGGGUUGUGGCGGGGUCUCUAAGGUGGGCAUGAUGGGGAGGGGAGGGCUUUCUCAGGGGUGGGCUGGAGCUGCUCCUAGGGGCUCCCAUGGGCUGAUUAAGUACUCAGAAAAAUUUGUUGGCUGGUUGGCCAUGGUAGGGGUAUUUACACCACGAAACACUACAAAUCAGGUUGUUUUCAUGGCUUUUCCCUCCCUUAUAAAAAAAAAAACCCGUUUCCAUAGAGUUGAUUCCGACUCAGGGUAACCCCACGUGUGUUAGUGUAGAACUGUGUUUUAUGGGGUUUUCAAUGGUUGAUUUUUUGGAAGUAGAUCGCCAAGCCCCUCUUCCGAGGCACCUCUGGGUGGGAUCACACUGCCAACCUUUCAGUUAGUAGAGGAGUGCUUAACCUUUGUGCCACCCAGGGACUCCUGGGGACAGGGAGAGAAUGUGAAAUAAUCCAUAGUACAUAGGCCCUUCGUGGAUAGCGUACAGCUGCUGUUGGUGCCUGGCCUAGAGGCCCUUCCUGUGCCCAGUGGCUGCCGCCAGUGAUCGCCAAGAGCUUUCCCCUACAGCCUUCUCCAGAGACUUGCCAUUGGCUGAAGGGAGACUGCCUGGCCCGGAGAGGGCACACCACCCCUCCUCCCCUUCCCAUUCUAGGAUACGAAAGCCUUGCCGCAAGGUGAGAGGCCUGUGUAAGGGUUAUAAACUGCCAAUGCUUAAGACCUUAGCAUCUUUCAGUUUUCGUAACUUAAAGGAAGUUAGCAAAUGCCUGAGAAUAGAAUAAACCCUUAUCAUUAUAGUGAAACGAUAAAAGUUUGGAUUAUUUUCCUUCAGUUUCCUUUGUGCAGCAAACCCUGAAAGUAUUCAUUUCAGAAAGAAACAAGUUGCUAUUGAGUCGGUUCCAGCUCGUGACGACCCAAUGUGUGUCAAAGUAGAAGUGUGCUCCAGAGGGUUUUCAAUGGCUGAUUUUUCAGAAGCAGAUCUCCAGGCCCGUCUUCCAAGAUGCCUCCAGAUGGACUCAAACCUCCAACCUUCCAGUUGGCAGCCAAGUGUGUUAAAUGCUUGCACCACCCAGAGGCUCCAUCAGAAAACUCUCUUACACACGGGUAGGCUCCUUUGGAAAGAUGACUCUGGAGAGGUGAUGUUUGAAUUAGAGCAGAAUGGCUGAAAGGAACCAACCAUGCAAAGACUUGGAGGAGGAGGAGGAGGAGGGCACGGAGUCCCCGAGCACGUCUGAGGAGUGGAAAGAAGGCCCAGGUGACAGGGAGCCUGGCGGGAGGAGGUCAUACUGCUCUGUGGUGGCACAAAGUUCUGUGGCAUGUUGUAGGUCGCAAUGAGGAGUUUGGGUUGUUUCUAGGCAUCGCCAUUCACAAACACCUUUCCUAUAAGAAUAACUAAAACUGGUAUUUCCUAACAUAUGUGACGAACAGUACAAAAUACUGCUCAUUUCUCCAGGUCUGUGCACAUUGCAGGGUCCCAGCUAAAUCACUGGAGUUCGAGACAAAUGUGCCACUACUGCUUGCUGGGGGCGAGGGGGAGAGGGAAGGGAUGGAUAGGAUAGGUGGAGCCCAACCAUUUUCAGGGCAGUGACACUAUCCUGCAUGAUACCCCAAUGGUGCACACAUGACAUUAUAAUUCAUCCAAAUCUGCAGGACUCUGCAACAUAAAGGGUGAACCCUAGUGUAAACUGUGGACUUUAGUUAAUAAUAGUGUAUCAAUAUUGCUUCAUGAAUUGUAGCCAAUGUACCAGGAAGGCAAGAUGUUAAUAUAAAUAGAGAAAACUGUGGGGGCGGAGGGAGGAGGUGUAUGGGAACUGUUUGUACUGUCUGCACAGUUCUGUAUGCUCUAAAAGGUAAAGCCUAAUAAUAAAUGAAUAAAUGUGCCAGGACUCCUGCUUUCAGACCCACACACCUUCGCCUCUCAUAGGUACACAGCCCUCAAUCGGUCCCAUAACUUGAAAUCUCAGUGUUCCAACAUCAUGGUCAGUUUCAAGUGGCACACACGUGUCUGUUCAGGCUCAUUCUCCUGAAAGGAGGUGUCAGGUGUUAGGGCCAUCAGGGGUCAGCGUGGACUCCUCCAGAUAUCUCAAGGGCUGUUCUUGAGACUUGCCGAGGGGAAAAUGAGCAACGGUCAGAGCUGGUUUAUCAGGCUUCCAGCCUGGAUCAGAGUCUCCACAAAAGGUUGCUUUAUCCAGAUGCGCUGAAGGAGAAUGUCUGGUGGACACCCUGGGAUUCGGUCAGUGAUUGCGAUGGAAAUCAGACAGUCUUACAUAAUUUUUUUUUUCCAAUUCAUUUUGUCCUCUUGUUUAUCAAAAUGGCUUCUUGGGUACUUUCCAUGAGCUCGGCACUGUUGUGGUGCUGGUGUGACAGGUAUAAAAGGCAGUCUUUCCUGGGCUAGAGGGGAUGCCCUGGGAGGUGUUAAUGGGUGUGUUGAUGAAGUCCUGCAUGACUCUCCGAGUUGUCUAGCUCCCCAAGGAGAAGCUCCAGCAGAGGGGCAUCAGGUAUAGAAAAAUUCUGGCCUGCCCGAGGAAAGAGUCCUCAAGCAAGCUCUGGAGAGAUGAGGCCACAGGGGCUGGAUCCUGAAGAGUCUUGACUGAGUUUUGCUUUUAGUUUGGAGGCAAUGGAGAACCUUGGGCAUUUAAAAUAAGGAAAUGACAUAAUCAGCCUUAUAUUUUUAGUAUAUGAUUCUGGCUGUGAUAAGGGGGAAAAGGGAUGAAGGGCUUAGUUAUUAUUGGUACUAAUAAAUUACCUCAAGCUUAAUGCCUUAAAACAACCACCCAGUUUUCUUUGGGCCAGGAAUUGAACUGCUUAGAUGAGAGGAUCUGGCUUGGAGUCCCCCGGAAGGUGGCAGUCAAGAUGCUGGUUGACUCUGCAGACAUCUGAGGCUUGACAGGGUCUGGAUACCCAUUUCCAAGGUGGCUAACCUUCAUGGCUGGCAAGUUGGUGUUUGUUGGUGGUGGAUUGCCAGUUCCUUACCGUGUCAACCUCUUUCCAGAUUUCUUGUAUGUCCUUGUGACAUGGCAGCUGGCUUCCCUCGGAAUGCGUAAUCCAAGAGGGCAAGGUGGAGGUGGCAAUGCCUUUUAUGACCUCACCUCAUAAAUCACAUACUGUCACUUCAGCCACAUUCUGUUUGCUGGGAGAGAGUCACUAAGCCGAGCCCAUGUUCAAGGCUACAGGAGACUCCACCGUUGGAAGGGAGGAGUGUCAAAGAUCUGUGGACAUGACUGUGGUGGUUUGAACAUAAAAGAUUAUUUUGUAAUCCAGAUGAGAAAGGAAAAGGGAUGUAAUCUACCCCUAAACAGUGAGAAUAGGGGGCAGAUUUCAGAGAUAUUAAGAUUCUAAAAUCAACAGAGUUUAGAAACUAAUUGCAAUUAGUCUGAGCUGGGGUCAUCUAGGGGAGCUGCAUUGUCAAGGAGGAAGGGUAUGGUUAGGACAUGCUAACUAUGACAUGCCUUCUUACAGUUAAAUGGGUAUUUCAAACAGGCAGCUGUGCAUCUGGGCUUGUUUGAGAGGAGCUGUCUGGUGGGAUGAACCUGGGGGUUAUAGGCAUGAAAGCUGUGGAUGUAGAUGAGACAACAUAGGUAAAGGGGGGAAAAGGAAAAGAGCUAAGGUCACAGGGUAGAGCUCUGGGGAGGAAUUCCUUCAUUUGGCAAAGGAGACUGAGAAUGAGGCAAUCAGGGAGAUAGGAGAAAAACCAGAAAUGGUGGCCUCAUGGAAGCCAAGAGGAGGGGAUGGGCUCCUGUGUUGCCACCACUGAAAGGUCUCAUUGUAAGAUGCUUGGGUUUGGCGAUAUGGCAGUCACUGAUGACCCUGGCCAACGUUCUCCUGUGGAGUGGGUGCAGGUCAGACUGGAGAGGUGGGGAAGUGGAUAUCGACUGUGUUGACAUGUGUUUCAAGAAGAUUGGUUGUAAUAGAAGUGGUAAAGGGCAAUAAAUGGAGGUUUUAAAAAAUGUGUUUUAAUUCUUAUGGGAGGGCUGCAGUAGACAGUUCAAGAAGAGGGAGAGAGGGGAGGAAGAGUAAAGUGAGGCCAUGGAGGAGCAGCCUGCUUUGUCCUUUGGUGGGAUACUUCCUCCUUUCUAACAGGAAGGAAGAAGAUGGGGUUGGGGUUAGGUGAUGGGUAUCUGUAGCUCUGAUGUUCCCUCAGGUGGCUUCUAGUUUUGGUUAUGAAGUAUCAGGCUGUGUUAGUGGUACUCAGCUUUGGCCACACGUUAGAAUCACCUGGGGGACAUUUAAACCUCCUUUAUGCCCAGGCUGUCCUCUCAGGGCAUCAGUAUUUUUGGAAGUUUCCCAUGUAAAACCAGAGUGUAGCCAUGUGGAGGACCCCUGAAGUGGGUCACUCCUGAGAGUGAACUGGGAGGAGGUGGGGGCAGUCAGUGGGCCCGGGAUAAAAGGACGGUAGCAGAGUGUGGGAGAAGGUGAUGUCAGGGUUUUCUGAGGUAGGUGACCAUGGAGUUCCAGUGGUAACUAUCUGCUUGGUUAUGUGGUCAUCUCCAGGAGAGCUACCUGCUCGGUUGCAGGUUUCAUGAACAGUAACCUACUCAGUGCCGUCGAGUCGAUUCCGACUCAUGAACAGUAGGUGGUGUGAAAAUCUUAACCUCUGUGCCUCAGGUUUCAUUGUCUGAAAAAUGGGCGUAACGGUACCUACCUCAUAAGAAUGAUGUAGAAUUAAAUGAGGUAAUGAACAUAAAUGUAUAGCACAGCUCAUUGGAAAAGAAAAAGUUGCUGUUUAGUGGACUCUGACUCAUGGUGAUCCCACAUGUAUCAGAGUAGAACCAUGCUCCAUUGAAUUUUCAAUGGUGGAUCUUUCUGAAGUAGAUUGCCAGGUCUUUCUUCUAGGUGGACUCAAACCUCCAUUCUUUCUGUUGGCAACUGAAUGCGUUAGCCUUUUGCACACCAACCAGGGACUCCUGAACAGCUCAUAGCACAGAGUAAAUGCUCAAUAAAGUUUACUGUUGGCAUUAGCAAAUAACCUUGUUGACUAGAAUGUAGGACAUGAACAGGAGAGUAAUGAGAUAGGACUGUAAAAGCAUAUUUCUAGAGAAGAGUUUAUAUAAGAGGCCAUGAGGACUUCAGGUGGGUUUUGAGUUGGGGAUGAUUUAGAGUCUACUUUUGGAAUCCUGGGGAGGAAGUGGGUUGGAGAACUGUGGCAGAUUCGGCCACUUUGGCUGUUGUCACAGGGCCAUGGUGCCAUGUUCCAUUUAGAUUUCAUUUUGCUUUUCUCCUGCUCUGUUUGGGCCAAUGUGUAGUGUUAGACACAAAUGAUGACAUAUUAUAUUCCCACCCCUGGACCUGACUGGGGCUGUACGUAGGGAUUAGGGACAGGGAGACCUAAGGCUGUGUCCCGCAGAAGGGGCUUUCUGCAGGGGGGUCUGUUUCUGAUUGUUCUUAUCAUCCCUGCUGGUGUAUUUACCCUGUCUGGCUACUGGCUGGGAAACCCUGGUGGCAUAGUGGUUAAGUGCUACAGCUGCUAACCAAAGGGUUAGCAGUUCAAAUCCACCAGGCACUCCUUGGAACUCUAUGGGGCAGUUCUACCCUGUCCUGUAGGGUCGCUAUGAGUCGGAAUCGACUCAACGGCACUGGGUUUGGCUUCUUUUGGUUGGCUACUGGCUGAGCAGGCAAGAAGGAACACAUUUUUCCAAACUGGUUUCAGCAUGGCAUUCUCAAUCCUAUUGAAAGAAGCCCCAUGUCCUGAUGCAAGGAACUCUGGGACCCAUGCUGGAAAUGAGAGAAGUCAUCUCAGAAGGCAGCACCUAACCAGAGUGGCUUCUUGUCUCUGGGGCACGGAGUCAAGGAAGUGACGUGUGCUCAGUGUACAUUUUUGCAGCAUGACCUUCAGCCAUGGUAAUCAUUACUGUGGUAAAUCCUGCCCAAGAAUGUAGGGCUAUGGGGUAGUAAAGAACUCACUCACCCUGUACCACCAGUGGCCUCUGUCCUUGUCGACCAGAUGGCUGUCUUUCCUGCAGAGACUACAUGUCCCAGCACGCAUUGCACACCGUCCCAGCAUGCAUUGCCGCGUCCCCUGCUGAGAGGCUGGGAAGCUCUUCAUCACCUCCCCAAGGCUGAGGGAUUCUUCCUCACCUCCUCCAGACUGAGAGGCUCUUCCUCACCUCCCCCAGACACGGCCCCCCUUAUCUUCAGACAGGCUGACAGGUUGCCACACAGGUCCAGUCCUAGGCAAGUGCGUUGUUUCAAUGCCAUGGUAGCGACCUUUUUAUUCCUGAUGGCUUCUUUACUCCGUGACGAGACAAGCAAAGCAAGAUUUUAGCAGAGAGUACCACGACGGAUCAUUUGGUCAGGGACCCUGGCAAGCCUGAGGGUUUUGUCAGAUGGGAGCUGUAGUAGUGAGUAAAAAAAAGUGAAACCAGAUGUGCUUCCCUCCCGUGGCUUCCCAUCCACGCCGGGGCUGAGGGAGGAGGCUGUAAAAGUGUCUCAGCCCUCAACUGCCGAGGCCCGGAUUUAUGCGCCGGGUAACCCUGCACCAUAAAUCCACCGCCCUCACCGAAGCAGCAGCUUCCGACCGGCCGGGGCCCAGCUGUGGUGCUGACCGGAGAGGGCGGAUG